AUGAUCUUCAUUAAGACUCCAUGGGUGUGUCUGAGCUCCUGCUGCCAAAAGGGCCACUAAUAGAUGAAUUUCUUGCACUCCCGAGAACAAGCCUCUCUCGUCUUCCAAAUGCUUCAUUUACUAAAAUACAAACAAACAGUUAAACUAACAGAUCAGGAAAUUAAGUCAGAAUAUACAAAGACACUAAAAUGCAGACUUGAGCAAUGAGGUUCUCUAUUCUGGGGCAGAAAUUUUAUGAAAAUAUACUUAGUACUUUAUAAAUGGUAAAGUGAGUAACCAACUCAGAAGUCCAAGUUAAUGUUCUGAAUGAAGUGAAUUAUUUUUUUAAACGGUCCAAUUUAUUUUUGUACUUUACUUUCUUUGCCAUGUCCUGGAUUUGUCUGAUCCACCUUGGUAACAGAUGUCCCAUUCCUUGUAAGUGACUCUCUCCUAGCCUUAUUCUACUUCUGAUUGCUUCCUACUUUUUCUUUCACUUUUCUCUGAUCAUAACCAGGACAGAACUUUUUGAACUUAGGACUUACAUCAGAGUAACCCAGAGAAGAAUCUCAGGACCCUUGUUUUGCAUGGGAGGGAGGAUGCAGGAAUCACAUAGUGGGGAUAUAUAUAUAUUAUCUCUGUGUUUAUAGAAUGCACCAGACUACCUCAAAGUAAUAAAUAAGCAGCCAGGAUCCCCUAAAGGGAGAAGAGUGGCCUCUUCCAGAAAGUUGGAUUUUGUAGAAUUUUAUAGUUGAGCAAAGGAUGAAUUUAUUGACAUUGGUAACUGUGGGGAAGAGGGCUAUUUGUUGAGACCAUGCUAUAUUUCUUUCCAGCUUUCCCCAAAUAUCUUUCAAUUUUAAGACAUGUAUUUGUUAAAUGACGUACACUUAAAGUGUGAAGACAAACUUAUUUGUGAAUAUGAGCAUGACCAAUUACAUCUGAUCUUGUCUCUUUCCUAAGAAGACUACACUAGUUUUGCUAUCUUCCUGAUGUAGUCAGGUCACACAUUCUGCACUUGGUCUUAGCCAAAAUGCUGAGAAACAAUUCGAGUCACACAUUCUGUGUCGGUCCUUAUAGAACUCAUUCAGAAAAAGGAGAGGCCAGCAUGAUGGCUCACACCUGUAAUCCCAGCUACACAGAAGGCGGAGGACCAAGGAUCGCUUGAGGUCAGGAGUUUGAGACCAGCCUGCGCAACAUAGGUGAAAAAAAAAAGCGGCCAUUUCACUUGUGUCCUAGAAAAGCCUCUCCCCAGCGUCCUUGGUCUUCCCAAGCAACUGUUAAUCAGACUGCAGUUGACUGUGGCUAACUGAAACCAAAGAAAGCAAAACCGUGGAUAAGAGGGCACUACUGUAUUCUGAGAAAACCGACUGCAGUUGAGGAAAAGGUAUAUGGAUAUAAGUUCAAGCACACCAUAGCAUUGUAACUACAUACAAAAACUCACAAGUGGGUUACAAAUGAUUAAACCUGAUAUAUGCAAUAAAAUAUAC